rnacentral:rRNA from 1 species
GCGGCAUGCCUAACACAUGCAAGUCGAACGGUUUUGGAGCUUGCUCCAAGAUAGUGGCGGACGGGUGAGUAACGCGUAGGAAUCUACCUUAUAGAGGGGGACAACCCGGGGAAACUCGGGCUAAUACCGCAUAAUAAUCGAGAGAUAAAAGUAUGGGACCUUUUGGCCAUACGCUAUAAGCUGAGCCUGCGUUGGAUUAGCUAGUUGGUGGGGUAAAGGCCUACCAAGGCGACGAUCCAUAACCGGUCUGAGAGGAUGACCAGUCACACUGGGACUGAGACACGGCCCAGACUCCUACGGGAGGCAGCAGUGGGGAAUAUUGGACAAUGGGCGCAAGCCUGAUCCAGCCAUGCCGCGUGGGUGAUGAAGGCCCUAGGGUUGUAAAGCCCUUUCGGCGGGGAAGAUAAUGACGGUACCCGCAGAAGAAGCCCCGGCUAACUUCGUGCCAGCAGCCGCAGUAA